rnacentral:sRNA from 1 species
CCCUAGCCCCGAUUGCAGUGGAAAUCCUUUUUUGCAUUGUCUUCAGGCUCUACUUAAUGGAAAUCGUCGGCAAAAAAGAUUGCAACGGAAAGCGGGAAACAGC